rnacentral:rRNA from 1 species
GACGUACCGUCCAAACGUUAUUCGGAAUUACUGGGCUUAAAGGGUGCGUAGGCGGUCCGGUAAGUUGGGUGUGAAAGACCUCGGCCUAACCGAGGAAAUGCGCCCAAAACUGUCGGACUCGAGCAAGGCAGAGGUGAACGGAACUUAGGGUGGAGCGGUGAAAUGCGUUGAUAUCCUAAGGAACACCAGUAGCGAAAGCGGUUCACUGGGCCUUUUCUGACGCUGAUGCACGAAAGCCAGGGGAGCGAACGGG